rnacentral:rRNA from 1 species
CCGUUAAACCUCACCCCUUCUUGUUUUUUCCGCCUAUAUACCGCCGUCGUCAGCUUACCCUGUGAAGGCCUAACAGUAAGCAAAAUGGGCCCACCCAAAAACGUCAGGUCGAGGUGUAGCGCACGAAGGGGGAAGAAAUGGGCUACAUUUUCUAAAUAACAGAAUACUACGAAUGAGCACUCUGAAAUAUAGUGCCUGAAGGUGGAUUUAGUAGUAAAAAGCAAAUAGAGAGUCCUUUUGAAUUAGGCUCUGAGACGCGCACACACCGCCCGUCACUCUCCCCUCAUACCCUUAAAACUAACAUUCCUAAUACCCUAUUAAAUAGUACGGGGAGGCAAGUCGUAACAUGGUAAGUGUACCGGAAGGUGUACUUGGAAUAAC